rnacentral:miRNA from 1 species
UUCACUGGGGUUUGUUUCACUA